CCUACGGGAGGCAGCAGUGGGGAAUAUUGCGCAAUGGGCGAAAGCCUGAUGCAGCGACGCCGCGUGAGUGAAGAAGUAUUUCUGUACGUAAAGCUCUAUCAGCAGGGAAGAAAAUGACGGUACCUGACUAAGCAGCCCCGGCUAACCACGUGCCAGCAGCCGCGGUAAUACGUAGGGGGCAAGCGUUAUCCGGAUUUACUGGGUGUAAAGGGAGCGUAGACGGCAGCGCAAGUCUGGAGUGAAAUCCCAUGGCUUAACCAUGGAACUGCUUUGGAAACUGUGCAGCUGGAGUGCAGGAGAGGUAAGCGGAAUUCCUAGUGUAGCGGUGAAAUGCGUAGAUAUUAGGAGGAAUACCGUUAGCGAAGGCGGCAAGCUGGAUGGAAACUGACGCUGAGGUGCGAAAGCGUGGGUAGCAAACAGGAUUAGAUACCCUAGUAGUC
rnacentral:rRNA from 1 species